AUUCUUACCUGGCAGGGAGAUGCCGUGAUCCCGAAGGUGGGUUCCCGGGGGAUCUCCCCAAAGGCGGGAAACUCGACUGUGGGAUUUGUGGAAGUGGGGGACUGCGUUCGUGCUCCCCCCAC
rnacentral:snRNA from 1 species